UUUUUUUUUUUUUUUUUCAAUUCUUUUCCAAUUUUUAGUUUAUGCAUUUCAAGAAAUUCUUGCCUAGAUGUGUACAGAUUAUUAUCCAGAUGGAUUUGGCACUUGGUGGGUGGGGAGGGGAAGAUUUGUGGGUUUUAUUUUUUUUAGCUAAUAUUCUUGACAAAUUCAUGUGCUUACAGUGCUAGAUUUCAGUUCCUUAUUUUAGGGUUCCAUUGCUAUGGAACAAUUUUGGUGGGAUGAUGAUUUCUUUGUAUGUAAUGAAAUUAUUGGAAUGGAUAAUAGAAGAAUAAAAUGCGGUUAUUUACUGUUCAAAAA
rnacentral:misc_RNA from 1 species